rnacentral:rRNA from 1 species
UAAGGAAUAUUGGUCAAUGGAGGCAACUCUGAACCAGCCAUGCCGCGUGAAGGAUGAAGGUCCUCUGGAUUGUAAACUUCUUUUAUGUGGGAAGAAACCCUUGUUUUUUAAUGAGGUUGACGGUACCAUAGGAAUAAGCACCGGCUAACUCCGUGCCAGCAGCCGCGGUAAUACGGAGGGUGCGAGCGUUAUCCGGAUUCACUGGGUUUAAAGGGUGCGUAGGUGGGAAUGUAAGUCAGUGGUGAAAUCUCUGAGCUUAACUCAGAAACUGCCAUUGAUACUAUGUUUCUUGAAUUUUCUGGAGGUCAGCGGAAUAUGUCAUGUAGCGGUGAAAUGCUUAGAUAUGACAUAGAACACCAAUUGCGAAGGCAGCUGGCUACAGGGAUAUUGACACUGAGGCACGAAAGCGUGGGGAUCAAACA